UACGGAGGGUGCAAGCGUUAUCCGGAUUCACUGGGUUUAAAGGGUGCGUAGGUGGUGUGGUAAGUCAGUGGUGAAAUCUCCAAGCUUAACUUGGAAACUGCCGUUGAUACUAUCAUUCUUGAAUAUCGUGGAGGUAAGCGGAAUAUGUCAUGUAGCGGUGAAAUGCUUAGAUAUGACAUAGAACACCGAUUGCGAAGGCAGCUUGCUACACGAUCAUUGACACUGAGGCACGAAAGCGUGGGGAUCAAACAGG
rnacentral:rRNA from 1 species